rnacentral:rRNA from 1 species
CCUACGGGGGGCAGCAGUUUCGAAUCAUUCACAAUGGGGGAAACCCUGAUGGUGCGACGCCGCGUGGAGGAUGAAGGUCUUCGGAUUGUAAACUCCUGUCAAGGGGGACUAUUAACCCCUAGAGGAAGCAGUGGCUAACUCUGUGCCAGCAGCCGCGGCAAUACAGAACCUGCAGGCGUUACUCGGAUUCACUGGGCGUAAAGGGAGCGCAGGCGGAAUCGUGUGUCGGAUGUGAAACCCGGGGGCUCAACUCCCGGACUGCGUCUGAAACUGCGAUGCUAGGGACUCGGAGGGGCUAGUGGAAUUCUUGGUGGAGCAGUGAAAUGCGUAGAUAUCAAGAGGAACACCAACGGCGAAGGCAGCUAGCUGGCGGAUCCGACGCUCAGGCUCGAAAGUAUGGGGAGCAAAAAGGAUUAGAUACCCCAGUAGUC